GUUCGACAAUCAGGAUUUAGAUGAGGAUGAAAGGAGAAGGGCUGAGACAAAGACAGACCAAAAUUGUGGCUGUUGCAAUUGGCAAUCUUCUAAGCACACCCAAGUUGUCUAAGGAAAAACCCAGGGCCAAUCAAGGCCUGCAAGAAAACUGGACACUGAGCAUAUGCUGUAUGUAGCCACUGCCAAGGCCCUGUUCUGUAUGUCAGAUGGCUGGUGUGCCUGACCACAGCACUGGAAGAUUGUCCCCACUCCUAGACAGGGGCUAUCAAGAUGGUGAAGGCCAGCCUAAACCUUCACCCUCUGCCCUAAUAAAGAGGACUGAAGAGGCCUGGGGUAACCUACAAUGUCCCUGUUCAUGGACAUCUCCAUCUCCCGUGAAAAACCCUGGGUGACCCUGGAUGUCAUAGAUUCAGAGGCUAGCCGCUCUUGUGUCUUGCUGUGUCUGGCCUUGAACUCAUGGGAAUCCUCUUGCCUCAGCCUCCUGAGUGCUGGGAUUACAGGUGUGCACCACCAAGCCUGGCUACCCCUUCUUAAAACAAAAAAGAAAGAAAGAAAGAAAGAAAGAAAGAAAGAAAGAAAGAAAGAAAGAAAGAAAGAAAGAAAGAAAGAAAGAAAGUGGACCUUGGAAAAGGCAUCCCUGGCCCUGGCCAGAGGUAGUGUGAGGCUCUCCAUGGCUCCGGAGGCCCUCAGAGGAACCCCACUUGUCUUCUUCACUGAUUAUCCUUCCUGGAAGACUUGUCCAGCCGCUGUCCACAGCCCACCUGGUCCACCAGCAAUGCAGGUCAUCGUGUUUUCCCAGCUUAGCUGGGGAUCCUUGAAGUUGACUCUUUAUACACCUUGUGACAGAAAAUCAACACCAAAAUGACUUCAAAUAACACUGUUAUUGUUUGGAAUGCUGCUGCCAAGAAGCAUGUUUGUCAGUAAAUCUCCCAAUAAACUGCAUUCUGUGCAAUCCUAGAUCUGCCUGCCUCUUUCUUCAGUCACCUUGAGGAGUCUUCAUACACUAGUAUUACUGGGAUCCGGGGUUCUAGAGUUUCCUUCUAGAGGUGGUUUCUAGAUCUUGUCUUGACCAAUUAUUUGUUCAGGACACAGCUGAGGUGGGGGCACUGCACAAGGCUGGGAAGGACUUGGUUUCUGUUUUUGUUUUUGGUACCGGGGAUUGAACUUGGAUGAACUGGAGGCCUAGCACUUUGGGUAUGGCUAGCCUCUCAUUUAGUAAAC
rnacentral:lncRNA from 1 species